rnacentral:rRNA from 1 species
GAUGAACGCUGGCGGCGUGCCUAAUACAUGCAAGUCGAGCGAACGGACGAGAAGCUUGCUUCUCUGAUGUUAGCGGCGGACGGGUGAGUAACACGUGGAUAACCUACCUAUAAGACUGGGAUAACUUCGGGAAGCCGGAUCUAAUACCGGAUAAUAUUUUGAACCGCAUGGUUCAAAAGUGAAAGACGGUCUUGCUGUCACUUAUAGAUGGAUCCGCGCUGCAUUAGCUAGUUGGUAAGGUAACGGCUUACCAAGGCAACGAUGCAUAGCCGACCUGAGAGGGUGAUCGGCCACACUGGAACUGAGACACGGUCCAGACUCCUACGGGAGGCAGCAGUAGGGAAUCUUCCGCAAUGGGCGAAAGCCUGACGGAGCAACGCCGCGUGAGUGAUGACGGUCUUCGGAUCGUAAAACUCUGUUAUUAGGGAAGAACAUAUGUGUAAGUAACUGUGCACAUCUUGACGGUACCUAAUCAGAAAGCCACGGCUAACUACGUG